CAACUUUGCUAUCUUAGAACGGAUCACCAGUGAAAGAGGGGAAGUUGCUACUGUGAUGAAUUCUGCCAUGUGGUACCAGACUGCUGCCCAGACCACAGUGUCCUCUGCAACCCUGGUAACUCACAUACAGGCCUGAUUCCACCUACAGCAAAGCUGGAUGCUAUGGUUGGCAGAGGCAAGCCCCUUGCCUGCACUUCAGGCCAAAGCCGGGAUGUGGCCUAGAUGGUUCCUAAGCUUCUCAGAUGACCAAGAUGGUGCUGCCGAUGGUGUUGAGGACGGAGAACCCACCAAGCCCCGUUAGGAGCCACCUAGACUGGAUGCAGAGCACAGUUCAGCGACUUCUCCAAACCAGCCUCCCAGGAAUGCUGUUCUCUAUGGCCGUGAGGGGAAUCAAGAAGAGAGCCUGACUCCUCUCCUGAGGUCCCUUCCACACCCUGAGCCAGCAGGAUCCACGGAGCAGAGGUCAUCUGCCCGCAACUUGGCCCACUGAGGCCAGCAUGGCU
rnacentral:lncRNA from 1 species